rnacentral:rRNA from 1 species
GAGUUUGAUCAUGGCUCAGGAUAAACGUUGGCGGCGUGCCUAACGCAUGCAAGUCGCACGGGGCGCAAGCCUAGUGGCGGACGGGUGAGUAACACGUAGGGACCUGCCCGGAAGUGGGGGACAACUCUCCGAAAGGAGAGCUAAUACCGCAUACGGUCUACGGACCAAAGCCGAAAGGCGCUUCUGGAGGGACCUGCGGUGGAUUAGCUUGUUGGUGGGGUAACGGCCUACCAAGGCGACGAUCCAUAGCUGGUCUGAGAGGAUGAUCAGCCACACUGGGACUGAGACACGGCCCAGACUCCUACGGGAGGCAGCAGCGAGGAAUUUUGCACAAUCGACGAAAGUCGGAUGCAGCAACGCCGCGUGGGGGAAGAAGGCUCUCGAGUUGUAAACCCCUUUUGUGAGGGAAGAAGAUCUGACGGUACCUCACGAAUAAGUCACGGCUAACUACGUGCCAGCCGCCGCGGUAAU